UCCCUGGUGGUCCAGUGGUUAAGAAUCUGCCUUCCAAAGCAGGGGACACAGGUUCAAUCCCUGGUCAGGGAA
rfam:TPA: Bos taurus chromosome 7, whole genome shotgun sequence.